UACGGAGGGUGCGAGCGUUGUCCGGAAUCACUGGGCGUAAAGGGCGCGUAGGCGGCCUGAUAAGUAGGGGGUGAAAUCCUGCGGCUUAACCGCAGGGCUGCCUCCUAAACUGUCAGGCUUGAGCACAGUAGAGGCAGGUGGAAUUCCCGGUGUAGCGGUGGAAUGCGUAGAGAUCGGGAAGAACACCGGUGGCGAAGGCGGCGAUCUGGGUAGAUACUGACGCUGAGGUGCGAAAGCGUGGGGAGCAAACAGG
rnacentral:rRNA from 1 species